AGAUGAACAUGGACAUUUGAAAAUAUACCUGCCCAAGAAGCUGCUUGAAUGUCUACCAAAAUGCACCUCGCUGCCAAAGGAGAGACACCGGUGGAACACAAAUGAGAGACAUCCAUGCAGACGCCAUAAUGGUUUCCGUGUUUGUAUUGAACUUGACCUCUGACCCCUGACCUCCUGCAUAAGCUUGGUGCCGUGUCAGCAGCAGCAGCAGCAGCUCGGGUUGGAGGUAGGGAGGCGAGGUCAAAGUCGUUCUCUCCACUCAGCUUGUUUUGAGGAUCGUUGCGUGAGCGACUUGUUGCCACAAAAGAAAGAAGAAAGAAGAAAGAAGAAAGAAGAAGAAGCCGGCAGCUCAGAGAGCCCGUCUCCUCUGCGCGGUAGCCCUGGCCGUUUGCCAGCCCAGCCUUCCGUAUCAAUAAUGAACGUUUUAAAGAACAGCUUAGGCAAGUGCAAGCC
ensembl:lncRNA